AGAGUUUGAUCAUGGCUCAGAUUGAACGCUGGCGGUAGGCUUAACACAUGCAAGUCGUGCGAGAAAGUACCUUCGGGUGCGAGUAGAGCGGCGGACGGGUGAGUAACGCGUAGGAAUCUACCUAAUAGAAGGGGAUAGCCCGGGGAAACUCGGAUUAAUACCGUAUACCUCCUUAGGGAGAAAGAGGGCUUAGCUUUGAUGCUCUCGCUAUUAGAUGAGCCUGCGUAAGAUUAGCUUGUUGGUGAGGUAAUGGCUCACCAAGGCGACGAUCUUUAGCUGGUCUGAGAGGACGAUCAGCCACAUUGGGACUGAGACACGGCCCAGACUCCUACGGGAGGCAGCAGUGGGGAAUAUUGGACAAUGGGCGCAAGCCUGAUCCAGCCAUACCGCGUGUGUGAAGAAGGCUUUCGGGUUGUAAAGCACUUUAAGUAAGGAGGAAAAGAUUGUAGUUAAUACCUGCAAUCCGUGACGUUACUUACAGAAUAAGGACCGGCUAAUUCCGUGCCAGCAGCCGCGGUAAUACGGAAGGUCCAAGCGUUAAUCGGAAUUACUGGGCGUAAAGCGCGCGUAGGUGGUUUUUUAAGUUGGAUGUGAAAGCCCUGGGCUCAACCUAGGAACUGCAUCCAAAACUAGAUGACUAGAGUACGAAAGAGGGAAGUAGAAUUCACAGUGUAGCGGUGGAAUGCGUAGAUAUUGUGAAGAAUACCAAUGGCGAAGGCAGCUUCCUGGUUCUGUACUGACACUGAGGUGCGAAAGCGUGGGUAGCGAACAGGAUUAGAUACCCUGGUAGUCCACGCCGUAAACGAUGACA
rnacentral:rRNA from 1 species